rnacentral:rRNA from 1 species
UAGGGAAUCUUCGGCAAUGGACGGAAGUCUGACCGAGCAACGCCGCGUGAGUGAAGAAGGUUUUCGGAUCGUAAAGCUCUGUUGUAAGAGAAGAACGAGUGUGAGAGUGGAAAGUUCACACUGUGACGGUAUCUUACCAGAAAGGGACGGCUAACUACGUGCCAGCAGCCGCGGUAAUACGUAGGUCCCGAGCGUUGUCCGGAUUUAUUGGGCGUAAAGCGAGCGCAGGCGGUUAGAUAAGUCUGAAGUUAAAGGCUGUGGCUUAACCAUAGUAGGCUUUGGAAACUGUUUAACUUGAGUGCAAGAGGGGAGAGUGGAAUUCCAUGUGUAGCGGUGAAAUGCGUAGAUAUAUGGAGGAACACCGGUGGCGAAAGCGGCUCUCUGGCUUGUAACUGACGCUGAGGCUCGAAAGCGUGGGGAGCAAACAGGAUUAGAUACCCUGGUAGUCCACGCUGUAAACGAUGAGUGCUAGGUGUUAGACCCUUUCCGGGGUUUAGUGCCGUAGCUAACGCAUUAAGCACUCCGCCUGGGAAGUACGACCGCAAGGUUG